UUUCUAGAGCCUCUCUGAGUAAAGGGAGGAUAAAACAAGAAAGUUAGUAAUAAUGGACAAACAAGAGCACGAUGACUUCCUCUAUAAGUAUAUAAAAGACUCGAAUGCACAAGAGCUAAGCGGAGACUCAACAAAGAAGCUGGCAACUAAAUUAAAUCAACUAAUUAAAAAGAAAAGCUUUCCAGAAAUCUUUAAACAUAGAAAAGUAUUAUUAACCUCAUGCCCAAGACUGUUUAUCUAUAUAAAGAUACAUAAAACCCCUCUUGAAGCUAGACCCAUUGUUGAGAAAAGGAACUCCCCAUGUAUAAUCUGGAAGCAAAAAUAGCUAAAUGCGCCAACAGCAUACUAAAACAAUAUGAACAUACGACGAAUAGCACCG
rnacentral:lncRNA from 1 species